rnacentral:rRNA from 1 species
CCUACGGGUGGCAGCAGUAGGGAAUAUUGCUCAAUGGGGGAAACCCUGAAGCAGCAACGCCGCGUGGAGGAUGAAGGUUUUAGGAUUGUAAACUCCUUUUGUCAGAGAAGAUAAUUACGGUAUCCCACGAAUAAGCCCCGGCCAACUCCGUGCCAGCCGCCGCGGUAAUACGGAGGGUGCAAGCGUUACUCGGAAUCACUGGGCGUAAAGAGUGCGCAGGCGGGCAUGUAAGUCAGAUGUGAAAUCCUGUAGCUUAACUACAGAACUGCAUUUGAAACUAUGAGUCUGGAGUGUGGGAGAGGUAGGUGGAAUUCUUGGUGUAGGGGUAAAAUGCGUAGAUAUCGAGAGGAAUACUCAUUGCGAAGGCGACCUGCUGGAACAUGACUGACGCUCAUGCACGAAAGCGUGGGGAGCAAACAGGAUUAGAUACCCCGGUAGUC